AGCCAGAUCGGUAUGCGACCACUCGAACGCAACUGCUGGGCUCGGGCUAUGGUUGCACCCCGAGAGUUGUCCUGUGGGCAAGGCUGGAAGUAGGAAGGGAACUCGCAUUUCCAGGAGCGGGAACGGAUGAAACCGAAUCUUGAAUCGCUGUGGAUCAAAGGAGCUGCUGAAAGGCAUCUGCCAGGCCGUCUCCUCGGAACUUGGUCAAGAUGACUGAUUUUGAGGUUCGGAUCGACCCCCUGCUAAGAAAUCCCCCUAGAACGUAGGAUAACUUCACAGGAAGACGCAAAAUAACGGCAGGUGGUGUUGGAGGCUCUAAAACCAGCCUGACUUGGCACUGGUGCCAGCUUGGGUCUGGGAGGCAACCUGUGCAAUGCGGAAUUUCAGGAGCCAGCCGGUCCCUCCGGGCCACAGACCCUGCAACAUCAACGUUGGCCCUUUUCCGUGGGAAACAAAAGUCAGCAGCCCAGGUUCCUGGUGUCAGUUUGCCGGAGGUACUUGGCACUGUCAAACCAGCCUGACUUGGCACUGGCGCUGAUAGUGGGGCCCUGGGAAAAUAUUAAAAUAGACUCUGAAAUGUUAGGCUUUGUGUUGCACCUGCGUAAGUAGUAUGAUAAAUGGUAUAAUUGUUAGAUGUUAUGUUUGUUUAGUAAUUAAAUAUAAUUAUUGUAUAACCAUAAGAAGAAUCAUGAGAAACUAUGUUGGAAAUCUAAGGGGGGCUAUGCUUGGCUGAAAUCUAUGUAUACAAUAGAACAAUAUAAGUUUAAUAAUUAACAUGAAAGUUAUAUAACGAUAGAAUAUAAAAACAUGUUCAUCCCUAACCCAUGUCAGAUUUCAGAUUUGGAUUUUUACCCCUGACACCCAGAGCUCUUCAAUAAAAGCACCUGCACAUAAUCAUUUUUCGUGAUUAUGUGUUUCUGAACACUAACAUUUUGGAAACCCAGAUGGGACCCUGUGAGUGCUGCUGAGCGAGUUUGUGAUUCGAUCACGCUCCAGCUGGCACCGCGGGAUUCUUGGGGAGCCCAUCAGCUGCGACCACCUCUGCCACUCACAACGUCCCCGGGAGAGAGGGAACUGAAGAAAGACCCAGCUCACCUGGACACGACUUCCACAAGGGGACAAGAACUCACCGACUCUAUUCGGAAACCAACUGGCAAAGGAGCUGGAGAUUUGGAACGAAAAUGGGCAAGUAUCAAGUGACCAAUACCUAUUGUUGCAGUGUGUUGAUGAUAUACUAAUAGCUACAGAAGAAAAAGCAACCUGUAUAAAGGUAACCACUGAGAUUUUUAAUUCCCUGGGAAUGGGAGGUUACAAAGUAUCCAGAGGAAAGGCACAAAUUGCCCAACAGACUGUGAUCUACCUGGGAUGUGAAAUUUCACAAGGGCAACAAAAACUAGGUACUAACCAAGGUAUCCAAGCUAUCUGUGCUAUUCCAGAGCCCCAGAAAUUACAUGACCUGCGAGUCUUCCUUGAGAUGGCAGGAUGGUGUCGCUUGUGGAUCAUGGACAAUGGACCAAUUGCAAAACCCCUGUAUGAAGCUCAGAAGACGCAGCCAUUCACCUGGGGCAAGCCACAGAAAGAAGCCUUCCUAAAAACUAAAGGAAGCACUGACAACUGCUCCAGCAUUAGGGUUACCUGAUCUGUCUAAAGAUUUUCAGCUAUUUGUACAUGAAAGGCUGCGCCUAGCACAAGGAGUCCUGACCCAGCGUCUGGGAAGCUGGAAAAGAUAGGUGGGCUACCUUUCCAAACAACUUGACGACAUAAGUGCCAGGUGGCCUUCAUGUCUGCGGGCAGUCACAGUCACUGUGAUACUGAUACAAGAAGCCGGGAAGCUUACUAUGGGAAAGCACAUAGAUGUCUAUGUACUACACAUGGUAACCACUGUCUUAGAGCAGAAGGAGGGCCAUUGGCUAUCUCCAAGCAGGAUGAUAAAAUUCCAGGUAGUCCUGACUGAGUAGGAUGAUGUCACAUUAAAAACAACUAACCUUUUGAAUCCAGCUUUGUUCCGAGGUACCACAACUGAAGAAGGCCCAUUAGAGCACGACUGUGUAGAGGUAAUAGAGUACACCUAUUCAGCAAGAGAAGACUUGAAAGACGUCCCACUAGAGCAGCCGGAGUGGGAGCUAUUUACAGAUGGGAGCAGCUUCGUGGAAAACGGAACCAGAUACGCUGGAUAUGCGGUAACAACAGUCAGUACAGUAGUGGAAGCAAAAGCAUUACCACCAAAUAGAUCUGCCCAGAAGGCAGAACUGGUUGCUUUAACCAGGGCACUAGAAUUAGGUGAGGGAAAAAAGGUAAAUAUAUGGACUGACUCAAAAUAUACUUUUGGAGUGGGGCAUGUACAUGGAGCACUGUGGAAAGAAAGAGGAUUAUUGUCUUCUCGAGGUAUGCACAUUAAACACCAAGAUGCAGUCCUGCAACUGAUAAAAGCAGUACAAAAACCUGAACAAGUGGCAAUUAUACACUGUAAAGCACACCAAUCAGGAAACUCCAAAAUCUGUGAGGGAAAUCGAAAGGCAGACUGGGCAAUGCAACAGGUUGCUCGAGAGGUGCAAACAAAAGUGGCAUUUAUGCCUUUAAAGCUUAACGUAUCCUAAUUUAAUUUGUCUCCAAAACCAAAAUAUUCAGUAGAAGAUGAGAGACUGGCACGUUUACUAAAUGCACAAAAGAAUUCGGAAGGAUGGUAUGUGACUGCACAAGGACAGAUAGUGGCACCCCCCACUUGAUAAUGAGAGAAGUUCUACAAAUGAAACAUAACAAAUGUCAUUGGGGUGCAGAGGCAUUGGUAAAAUUGCUAAAGCAGAGUUUAAUUUCGGUACGAAUGUUAACAAUGGCAAAAUCAGUCAUGUCAAAAUGUGAUAUCUGCUUGAAAAACAACCCAGUGGCUAGGCGACAGGCACAGCUAGGAAGAAUUUGGAUAGGAAUAGAGCCAGGAAACUAUUGGCAGGUAGAUUUUGUAGAAUUGCCAAGAACUUGAGAAUACAAAUACCUGUUAGUGGGGGUUGACACAUUUUCUAGAUGGCCAGAAGCCCUUCCCUGUCACACAAACCAAGCAAAGGAAACAGUUAAGUGGUUACUACAGGAAAUUAUUCCCAGGUUCGGGGUACCCCUAGGGGUAUCAACAGAUAGGGGACCCCAUUUCAUAGCUACAGUAGUAAAAGAGGCAAGUAGGUUGCUGGGGAUAACUUGGGACCUCCACACACCGUGGAGACCCCAGUCAAGUGGACAGGUAGAGAGGAUGAAUCAGACACUAAAAAGGCAAAUCAGUAAAAUAUGCCAAGAAGCCAUGCUGCAGUGGCCCCAGGCUUUGCCAAUAGCACUGUUGAGGAUUACGAUAAAACUUAGGAGCAGGAUGUCAGUCAGUUGUUAUGAGAUAUUGUAUGGGAAACCAUAUGAAUCUCCUGAGCCUAACACUAAUGUACACGUCACAGGAAAGCCGGAAGUGUAUAAUUAUGUUCUGUCUCUCGGGAAAACUUUAGCCCGGCUCCAGAACAUCAUCGUGUGGAAUAGACCACUAACUCUCAAGAAUCCAGUUCAUAACAUACAUCCAGGAGAUGAGGUGUACAUCAAAAACCGGAACGAAGAACCGCUGAAAGAAAAGUGGAGUGGACCCUAUUAGGUACUGCUGACCACCUUUACAGCAGUCAAAGUAGCCGGCGUGGACCCCUGGAUUCACUAUACCCGAGUGAAGAAAGUCUAUCCUGGAUCACAGACUGUGUAAACUGUGGAACCAAGACUGCAGAUAAGAUGUGUUUAAUUACUUUGAGAAUGCAAUUAUUAAUUGUGCUAAUGUUAUGGUCAUUAAUGUCUUUGGGAUGUGGAAUGCAAAAAGAUCUCUAACUAACCACUCUCCAUUCUAGAAUGAAGAGAGAGGUACAAGCAGAAGCACAGGUGAUAAAAAUUUCUAAUGCAGUUUGGGCUGAGAAUGUAAUGAUUGGAUUAGUCAAAGAUUUUACCAAAAUACAAAACACCACUAGAAUAACUGCCCGUCUGCCAAUACCAAAGGCAGCAGGAGACCCAGUAAAUUGGGGAAUCAUAACAUCAAAACUACCUGAAAUACAAAAGAACAAAACAAUUGCAUGCAAACAGGUACCCGAGUUGAGGCAAGUAGUCGAGGCAAGUAGUCAUGUUCCUGUUUUCUUGGGAGAAAAUAGGAAUAUGGAUAAGAUCUAUGAGCCAGAAAGACUGUAUUCUAAGUGAUGGCAUACUAGGGACUCCUAUGAGACAGUCGAGAGGCAUCACACAAUGGCAAUGCUAUUUGCCACACUAUAAAAAGAUCAUAGAAAAUGUUACAGAAACCACUCUGGUAUGGAAGUGUGAGGCCGAGGAUCAGAAAGAUCAGAUAGAGCCUUGGGACAGUGCAUAGUCUCUGAGUAUACUUUAAAAAUUCCAAUAUAUAGCAAACACCCCUUGGUGUAUUAAGUGGGAAGGCUCCGAGAAUGAAACAGAUCCAGCAGUAACGUACACUGACACCAGUAGCAGAACGUGGGCAGACAAAGUAAGUCGGUGGGCAUGCAAUAAAACUUAUGACUGCACUUCUGAUGAUGCAGAGAUAAAACAGAUGCCACCCCUGGCAAUAGCCCUACAAAUUGGUUGUGCUUGCAGAGGGAUCAAACAUAAACAAGGCAAAAUGAAUUAUAAAGUGAUUAUAGGAUGUACCAGGAGUACAAUUAAAAGUCCAGGACAACUUGUAUGGGCAACAAACAGUGGUACCUGGACAACGUAUAUGCCUGUAGAUGGGAAAGUAAAGGAAAUUACUUUGGGCCUCCCAAUCUUACGUCCAAUUUGGAAAAAGUCCCCAUUUAAUGGAAAACAUGAACUUCUGCAGAUAAGAGCAAGACAAGAAGUUCUAGACAAUAAAAAAUCCAGAUGACACUUGGCAAGAACCCUCUAGUGGAGUGAAAUUUGGGUGGGCCCUAGAGUCUUUGCUUGGUCCUAUGGCAAACUAUCAGAGUAGAGAGAUGCCGUACAAACUUACAGGUCAGGUAGAUAGACUGGCAAGAGUCACCUGGGAAGGAUUUAAAGAAUUAAAUGUACAAUUACAAGCUACCAUAAAAAUGACUUUACAAAAUCGAUUAGCCUUAGAUUUGUUACUCCUGCAAGAACAUGGAGUAUAUGGAUUUUUAAAGGGACGAGUUGAUCAUUGCUGCGUUCACAUCCCAAAUGUAACUGCAGAUGUAGAAUAUGACAUCAAUCAGUUGAAACAAAUAGAGCAUGAAGCACAAGAAGAACAAAAGGAUUCGACUACAAGCUGGUUAGGAAAACCUUUAAAGGGUUAGGGUGGAAUGUGAGUUCAUGGAUUAAAUCUAUCAUUGAGAGUGUGAUAAUCUUACUAAUUGUAUUCUUAGCAAUUUGGUUAGUUUACAGCAUCUUAAAGGAGGAGAUACAGAAGAAAUCAUACUGGAACCAGAAAAUAACAAAGGCACUGACACAAGAUUCACACCAUCUAUUUUCUGGUUCUCCAGUUCGUGAUAGCAUCCAUGGCAAUGUUUACAUCAACCCUAGAUUUGAAGAACAUCGAAUAUAAAUUGAUAAGUAAAGGACUGUAUCAAGUGGAAACAUUAACACAUAUAGUGAAGUGAAGUUGCUUUCAAAGGGAGGAGAAUGUUAGUGGGGCCCUGGGAAAAUGUUAAAAUAGACUCUGAAAUGUUAGGCUUUGUGUUGCACCUGCGUAAAUGUAUGAUAAAUGAUAUAAUUGUUAGAUGUGAUGAUUGUUUAGUAAUUAAAUAUAAUUAUUGUAUAAUCAUAAGAAGAAUCAUGAGAAACUAUGUUGGAAAUCUAAGGGGGGCUAUGCUUGGCUGAAAUCUAUGUAUACAAUAGAACAAUGUAAGUUUAAUAAUUAACAUGAAAGUUAUAUAACGAUAGAAUAUAAAAACAUGUUCAUCCCUAACCCAUGUCAGAUUUCAGAUUUGGAUUUGUACCCCUGACGCCCAGAGUUCUUCAAUAAAAGCACCUGCACAUAA